rnacentral:rRNA from 1 species
UAGGGAAUCUUCGGCAAUGGGGGGAACCCUGACCGAGCAACGCCGCGGGAGUGAAGAAGGUUUUCGGAUCGUAAAGCCCUGUUGUUAAGGAAGAACGAGUGUGAGAAUGGAAAGUUCAUGCUGUGACGGUACUUAACCAGAAAGGGACGGCUAACUACGUGCCAGCAGCCGCGGUAAUACGUAGGUCCCGAGCGUUGUCCGGAUUUAGUGGGCGUAAAGCGAGCGCAGGCGGUUAGAAAAGUCUGAAGUGAAAGGCAGUGGCUCAACCAUUGUAGGCUUUGGAAACUGUUUAACUUGAGUGCAGAAGGGGAGAGUGGACUUCCAUGUGUGGCGGUGAAAUGCGUAGAUAUAUGGAGGAACACCGGUGGCGAAGGCGGCUCUCUGGUCUGUAACUGACGCGGAGGCUCGAAAGCGUGGGGAGCGAACAGG